rnacentral:rRNA from 1 species
CGCUGGCGGCGUGCCUAAUACAUGCAAGUAGAACGCUGAAGAGAGGAGCUUGCUCUUCUUGGAUGAGUUGCGAACGGGUGAGUAACGCGUAGGUAACCUGCCUUGUAGCGGGGGAUAACUAUUGGAAACGAUAGCUAAUACCGCAUAACAAUGGAUGACACAUGUCAUUUAUUUGAAAGGGGCAAUUGCUCCACUACAAGAUGGACCUGCGUUGUAUUAGCUAGUAGGUGAGGUAACGGCUCACCUAGGCGACGAUACAUAGCCGACCUGAGAGGGUGAUCGGCCACACUGGGACUGAGACACGGCCCAGACUCCUACGGGAGGCAGCAGUAGGGAAUCUUCGGCAAUGGGGGCAACCCUGACCGAGCAACGCCGCGUGAGUGAAGAAGGUUUUCGGAUCGUAAAGCUCUGUUGUAAGUCAAGAACGAGCGUGAGAGUGGAAAGUUCACACUGUGACGGUAGCUUACCAGAAAGGGACGGCUAACUACGUGCCAGCAGCCGCGGUAAUACGUAGGUCCCGAGCGUUGUCCGGAUUUAUUGGGCGUAAAGCGAGCGCAGGCGGUUUGAUAAGUCUGAAGUUAAAGGCUGUGGCUCAACCAUAGUUCGCUUUGGAAACUGUCAAACUGNAGUGCAGAAGGGGAGAGUGGAAUUCCAUGUGUAGCGGUGAAAUGCGUAGAUAUAUGGAGGAACACCGGUGGCGAAAGCGGCUCUCUGGUCUGUAACUGACGCUGAGGCUCGAAAGCGUGGGGAGCGAACAGGAUUAGAUACCCUGGUAGUCCACGCCGUAAACGAUGAGUGCUAGGUGUUGGAUCCUUUCCGGGAUUCAGUGCCGCAGCUAACGCAUUAAGCACUCCGCCUGGGGAGUACGACCGCAAGGUUGAAACUCAAAGGAAUUGACGGGGGCCCGCACAAGCGGUGGAGCAUGUGGUUUAAUUCGAAGCAACGCGAAGAACCUUACCAGGUCUUGACAUCCCGAUGCUAUUUCUAGAGAUAGAAAGUUACUUCGGUACAUCGGUGACAGGUGGUGCAUGGUUGUCGUCAGCUCGUGUCGUGAGAUGUUGGGUUAAGUCCCGCAACGAGCGCAACCCCUAUUGUUAGUUGCCAUCAUUCAGUUGGGCACUCUAGCGAGACUGCCGGUAAUAAACCGGAGGAAGGUGGGGAUGACGUCAAAUCAUCAUGCCCCUUAUGACCUGGGCUACACACGUGCUACAAUGGUUGGUACAACGAGUUGCGAGUCGGUGACGGCAAGCUAAUCUCUUAAAGCCAAUCUCAGUUCGGAUUGUAGGCUGCAACUCGCCUACAUGAAGUCGGAAUCGCUAGUAGUCGCGGAUCAGCACGCCGCGGUGAAUACGUUCCCGGGCCUUGUACACACCGCCCGUCACACCACGAGAGUUUGUAACACCCGAAGUCGGUGAGGUAACCUUAUGGAGCCAGCCGCCUAAGGUGGGAUAGAUGA